UCGAGAGUUUGAUCCUGGCUCAGAUUGAACGCUGGCGGCAUGCCUUACACAUGCAAGUCGAACGGCAGCGCGGACUUCGGUCUGGCGGCGAGUGGCGAACGGGUGAGUAAUACAUCGGAACGUACCCUGUUGUGGGGGAUAACUAGUCGAAAGAUUAGCUAAUACCGCAUACGACCUGAGGGUGAAAGCGGGGGACCGAAAGGCCUCGCGCAGCAGGAGCGGCCGAUGUCUGAUUAGCUAGUUGGUGGGGUAAAGGCCCACCAAGGCGACGAUCAGUAGCUGGUCUGAGAGGACGAUCAGCCACACUGGGACUGAGACACGGCCCAGACUCCUACGGGAGGCAGCAGUGGGGAAUUUUGGACAAUGGGGGCAACCCUGAUCCAGCAAUGCCGCGUGUGUGAAGAAGGCCUUCGGGUUGUAAAGCACUUUUGUCCGGAAAGAAAUUGCUCUGGCUAAUACCUGGGGUAGAUGACGGUACCGGAAGAAUAAGCACCGGCUAACUACGUGCCAGCAGCCGCGGUAAUACGUAGGGUGCGAGCGUUAAUCGGAAUUACUGGGCGUAAAGCGUGCGCAGGCGGUUUUGUAAGACAGGCGUGAAAUCCCCGGGCUCAACCUGGGAAUUGCGCUUGUGACUGCAAGGCUAGAGUGCGUCAGAGGGGGUAGAAUUCCACGUGUAGCAGUGAAAUGCGUAGAGAUGUGGAGGAAUACCGAUGGCGAAGGCAGCCCCCUGGGACGUG
rnacentral:rRNA from 1 species